UGUAGGACUACGCCGUUGCAUGAAGACAUCAGAGAAGAACUUUCUGGAAAGAAAGACCAUAGAGCAUGACAGUUGCGUAUUCGAAUGUUGUCGAAGCAUAGUAGUAUCCUGAGUAGCGCGGAGCACGAGGAAUUCUGCGUGAAUCUGCCGGGACCAUCCGGUAAGGCUAAAUACUCCCGAGAGACCGAUAGCGAACCAGUACCGUGAGGGAAAGGUGAAAAGCACUUCGAACAGAAGAGUGAAAUAGUUCCUGAAACCGUGCGCCUACAAGCGGUCGGAGCUCGUUAAUGAGUGACGGCGUGCCUUUUGCAUAAUGAACCUACGAGUUGCCUUUGCCGGCAAGGUUAAGUGUGACGACACACGUAUCCGAAGCGAAAGCGAGUCUGAAUAGGGCGUAUAGUCGGCAGUGGCAGACGCGAAACCAAGUGAUCUACCCUUGGCCAGGUUGAAGGCUGGGUAACACCAGCUGGAGGACCGCACCAAUAAGCGUUGAAAAGCUUCUGGAUGAGCUGAGGGUAGGGGUGAAAGGCUAAUCAAACUUGGAGAUAGCUCGUACUCCCCGAAAUGCAUUUAGGUGCAGCCUUGCGGGUUACUGAUGUGAGGUAGAGCGACUGAUAAGAUGCGAGGGCUUCACCGCCUAUCAAGUCUUGACAAACUCCGAAUGCGCAUCAGUUCUACCGCAGGAGUGAGGGCAUGGGUGCUAAGGUCCGUGCCCGAGAGGAGAAGAAUCCGGACCACCUGCUAAGGUCCCGAAAUGACAGCUAAGUUAAACUAACGAAGUCUGACUGCUAAGACAGCUAGGAUGUUGGCUUGGAAGCAGCCAUUCAUUUAAAGAGUGCGUAACAGCUCACUAGUCGAGGAGUCGGGCGUGGAUAAUAAUCGGGUAUUAAGUUGUCUACCGAAGCAGUGGGAUCAUUUAUAUGAUCGGUAGGGGAGCAUUCCAGUCAGCGUCGAAGGCGUACCGUGAGGUAUUCUGGAGCGUCUGGAAAAGCAAAUGUAGGUAUAAGUAACGAUAAAGGGGGCGGGAAACCCCCUCGCCGAAAGACUAAGGUUUCCUGAUCAACGCUAAUCGGAUCAGGGUCAGUCGGGUCCUAAGGCUCAGCCGAACGGCGAUGCCGAUGGCAGAAACGGUUAAUAUUCCGUUACUACCUUCAGGAGUGACGUGGAGACGCAGUAGUGACAGUGCCGCCAUCUGACGGAAUAGAUGGUUGAAGGGUGUAGGAGUCGAUCAUGGCAGGCAAAUCCACCAUGAGAUCCGAACCUGACAGUAUGCCGCGUCCUUCGGGACAAGGCAAUAGUGCGCGUAAGCAUGCUGCCGAGAAAAUCCGCUAAACUUAAUCCUGUAGGUACCCGUACCGCAAACGGACACACGUAGUCGGGAUGAAUAUUCUAAGGCGCUUGAGUGAUUCACGGUUAAGGAACUAGGCAAACUGACCCUGUAACUUCGGGAUAAAGGGUCCCUACCCUUUUAUGGGAGGGCGCAGAGAAUCGGUCCAGGCAACUGUUUAACAAAAACACAGGGCUGUGCCAAAUCGAAAGAUCCAGUAUACAGCCUGACACCUGCCCGGUGCUGGAAGGUUAAGAGGAGAUGUCAUCGAUAAGAGAAGCGUUGAAUUGAAGCCCCAGUAAACGGCGGCCGUAACUAUAACGGUCCUAAGGUAGCGAAAUUCCUUGUCGGGUAAGUUCCGACCUGCACGAAUGGUGUAAUGAUCUGGACGCUGUCUCAACCGUGAGCU
rnacentral:rRNA from 1 species